rnacentral:rRNA from 1 species
CCUACGGGAGGCAGCAGUGGGGGAUAUUGCACAAUGGGGGGAACCCUGAUGCAGCGACGCCGCGUGGGUGAAGGAGUGCUUCGGCAGGUAAAGCCCUAUCGGCAGGGAAGAAGCAAGACGGUACCUGACGAAGAAGCCCCGGCCACCUACGUGCCAGCAGCCGCGGGAAUACGGAGGGGGCGAGCGUUAUCCGGAUCCACUGGGUGUAAAGGGAGCGUAGACGGCCAUGCAAGCCAGGGGUGAAAGCCCGGGGCCCAACCCCGGGACUGCCCUUGGAACUGCAUGGCUGGAGUGCGGGAGGGGCAGGCGGAAUUCCUGGUGUAGCGGUGAAAUGCGUAGAUAUCAGGAGGAACACCGGCGGCGAAGGCGGCCUGCUGGACCGCGACUGACGUUGAGGCUCGAAAGCGUGGGGAGCGAACAGGAUUAGAUACCCGGGUAGUC